UUAGAAAAAAGGUGAUGUUUUGAAGGCCGGUUGCUCUAGGAAGUGGGCCAGGGCAUUGUAAGAUCAAUAAUGGAGGAUGUUGGCAUAUGGUUAUAAAAGAAAUAGCUAUGUAGCAAGAUUUUGAUGGCAUAGACAGCUUAAAAAUUAUCCCAAAGUUUUGAUGGUAUCAUUUAAACAGGAGGCACGAGGCAUAAGUUUUCUUCAUCAUUGCAACCCACCGAUUAUUCACCGUGAUUAGAAGUCUUCAAAUCUUCUUGUGGAUAAGAAUUAGACAUGUUCAAGAUGGGUAAGAAGAAGAAGAAGAAGACCGAGAAAAGUGCUGCAAAGAUUGCAUUACUUGUUGAAAAUGUGAUGGUUGAACUUGAAGUUGUAGCAGAAGAAGAUGCAGAGCUAAACAGACAAUCAAAACCAGCUAUUAAUAAACUCAAAAAUUUGCCACUUCUAACUAAAGUACUAUCUAAGUAAAGUCUCUUAUUUGCAAAAGUCAAAUAUCUGUUACAUAGUAUUGUUUAUAUCAUUUACCUUUUUUAAAUUCUUAAUGCAAGAAACAACUUCAAUUAGAGUUUCUAGAUCAUGGAGUUCUAGAAGAUCCUAACUCAGUUCCCAAUUCAUUUAGAUCAAUAUGAUAGAAAAGAGCAAUUAAAGAAAAGUGGGCUUGGAAAGGCUAUUAUGUUCUUGUCAAAAUCUGAUGAAGAGACCACAUCCAAUAGAAAGCUUGCUAAAGACUUGGUUGACAAAGGGAAAGUUUCAAGUUUCUUGGGGCAUUCCCUGUUCUAUUGGAGAUGGGUGUACUUUCCGUUUGCAGCUUGGAGAGCAUGUCCUCUCUUGACAUGGUAAGUUUGGUUUGUCUUAUCACUACCAGCCAAUGGGAACAACCACCCCGGCCUUCAUCCUGACAUCAAGAGGGGUUGUGUGCAAUUGGGGAUGGACAUCUUUUGAACUUUUUACUCAACACAAGCACAGGGGAAUUAACAGAUAGGAAAAAUGUGUCACUUAGGAAAGAAUUAAGAAUGUUGUCACAGGCUGCAAGAGAUGCUGGACCCAUUAGAGAAGCUAAGGACAAACUGGAGAAGUGAGUUGAAGAGCUGACAUGGAGAUUAGACUUUGAAAAGCAUUUGAGGUGUAACGUCCCAAAAAUACGAGCCAAAAAUUUCGUUUUUUAAACAUGUACUUAGCAAAACAUUUAGAAAUUCAACAACCAUUUCAUUUCACAAAGA